GAUGAACGCUGGCGGCGUGCCUAAUACAUGCAAGUCGAGCGAACAGACGAUGAUCUUGCUCCUCUGACGUUAGCGGCGGACGGGUGAGUAGCACGUGGAUAACCUACCUAUAAGACUUGGGUAACUUCGAGAAACCCGAGCUAAUACCGGGUAAUAUAUUUAACCGCAUGGUUCAAUAGUGAUAGACGUUUUUGCUGUCACUUCUACAUAGAUCCUCGCGGCAUUAGCUAUGUGGUAAGGUAACGGCUUACCAAGGCCACGAUGCGUAGCCGACCGGAGAGGGGGAUAGGCCACACUGGAGGUGAGACACGGACAAGAGUCCUACGAGAGGCAGCAGUAGCGAACCUGCCGCAACGGGCGAGAGCAUGACGGAGCAAGGCCGCGUGAGAGGCGACGGCGUCGCGAUCGUAAAAAUCUGUUACUGGGGAAGAACAAAUGUGUAAGGAAACAUGGCCGUCUUGAAGGUAACUAAUAAGAAAGCCACGGGUAAACAAGGGC
rnacentral:rRNA from 1 species